UCCACUCACUUACUGUGUUUUAUGCUAAGCUAAAGCUAAAGAAGUACAGCCGGGUCAGGAGAAUGACUGGGCUGGUUUCAAAUUGAUUUUUUCCACUUAUCUAACGUUGGGAAAUGUGUCAACAGAUAACAUUUCAGUUGGAAUAUCCCUUUAAGACAGAUCAGAUUUAAGGUGUUGGAGGAUAAACGCUGAUCCACAAAGUCUCAAAGUCGGGGUGCACAUGAAGGAAGACAGGAAGAUGAACAACUAACAGCUCAGCGUGACUGAAACAUGGAGAGGCGAGCAGAGCUCCUCUGUAAAUCUGCCGUUUGCUGUCCUCUGAGAGGUCUGCUGCCCCCGCUGCAUCAUCCACAAGACCACGAUGUCCCACUGUUUGCAAUUAGGAGUCAGCCUGCAGAAGAGUCAGGAGAAGCACGGACUGCAGGGUGGCUUUCAGCCACCCUGCAGUCCGUCUGCUUAAGAGAGAAAUGCCUGUUGUGCUGAAGCACCCGGAUGACGCAGAAGCAGAACGACUUCUUCUGCAUGCAAACGGCCCAGUCGAGCUGAUGCCGGUAACUUCUGGAAGUGACGAGGCCGUGGAAGCAGUCUUCUGAUAAUAUCGUCGUAACACAUGUAACUCCAUCAGACAGUACAGUAUGAAGCAAAUAUGCUGUGCUGCAGCGUCGUUCAUUUCUGCAUGUUCUGUUUUAAACUCGGCUGUUUUGCUUGCUUUCAGCACCCCCUGGUGUCCGUUAUUAAAUCUCUGUGGUGAAACCAAAAGAAAACGAUCUCCUUGCUUCAUCUUUUUAAUCUAACAGCUGAAAUGUCUCCCCAGCCUUCAUUUGCUUGAUUCAAAUCAGCUGUGUUCAUGAUCUGAAACGUGGCUGGAGACUGCAGCACCAGUUAUGUCAGCCCAAUCAGGCCUGCCAGUCUGAAGUUGCAAAUGCGGUAUUCUGGCCACAGGGGGGCGCUGGGGGUCUGAGUGACAUUUCAUUAACCCUGUAAAGGUUCAUUUCAGCACAUACUGGCUCAAGAAACUCAUUUAAAAUAGGAAAAACUUCAUCUGCUUCACUCCCACCAGCGUUUCUUUAUUUUUUGUGUUGCUAUAAACCAUCUGGCUCCUGGUUUAUUCCUUUAGAUCGACCUAGAUGUGCAUGUAAAUGCACCUCAAACAGCUCAAAAACUCUGUAAUUUAAUGUGUUGUAUAAAUAAUUCUAUCAGUUUCCUGGGUGUUUCUAUGGAAUUUGGUCAUUUACAGCUGUAAAUAUCUCCUCCAACAUGAUUUAACCAUGAAUGAAUCCAUUUUUAUGUGGAAGUGCCAGUCUGAUCUUACCCACAUCCAUACAGGAGGAAUCGCUCCAUCACUGUUUAAGAUAGAAAGUCUUCUGAUGGUCACUGACAUUUAGAUCUGACUAAAGGCCAUCUGGUCUUUGCAGCAUCUGCCUGAAUGGUGCAGACUUAGCGCCCUUCAUCUUAAGAGCUAAAACCAUUAAAUCACCCAGCCUCUUCAGACAUUUAGGAUUAUUAUAAACUCUGAGGAAAUGAAAGAUUCAUAUCACCAAACCCAGAGACCGGAGGAACAGGUGAUAGAGCCUCCUUUAUUGUUAAAUGAGAGGAUUAAAUUACUGGCUAUAAUUCAGGAAUGUCUGCAAGAUAUAUAAAUCAUGUGGUUGCAAAAUGCUGCAUGAAUAUUAGAUACUUUAUUCUGUUUGCACUAAGAGGGGAAAACGCACAAAGUGAAGAUUUGGUGGCACGUCUUCCCUUGGCACAGCAGAGCAGUAACAGUAUGUGUCUACUCAAAAUAUGGUGUCAGCUCAGACUGCUCUCCAGCUUUGAUGAGGCUGAUGUGCCCGUGUUUCUGGUAAGCUCUCUGAGCUUCUAUAAACACAUCCUGUCUGCAGGCAGAUUUGUCUCUUCAUGGUGAAUUUAGAGGAAAAAAUCAACAAGCUGUGUCUUUCUGCUCCUUUAUGGAGGAAAAAACACCAAAAACACAACAGUCAUGUUAAGUCUGUUGAAGCAAAGCUUUAUUUUAUCCUCACUGAUGGACAAAGUCACCCAGAAAUGAGUCAGGCAGCAAAUGAGAUGUGAGGAUGAACUCUGAAACUGUCUCCUGUCAGUCUGGCUGCAGCUCUUCUGCAGGGCAGGAAGGAUCAGUAGUUUCCUCGUGCAAAUAAAUAUUUAAAUAGCUGAAGAUUUCAUUUGGAGUCAAAUAUGUAUUUUAUUAACUAAAUGCAGAGGUGGAAAGUAACGAAUUACAUUUACUCACGUUACUGUAAUUGAGUAGCUUUUUUGUAAAUUUAUACUUUUUAAGUCGUUUUUAAAAUCUGUACUUUUACUUUUACUUGAGUAAGUUUUUUAAAAAGAAUUGUAAUUCGCUACAUCAUAAAUCAUAUCCGUUACUGAGUAAAAAUAAAUUGUAGGCUUAAUAAAUUAAAAAUAUUACGUGUAGCAGCGUCGGAACAGAAAGAGACACCUGCAUGAGCGCCGCGUCUAAACCGGGGAGGGGUGGCUACACGCUUUAUAAUGAGGACAAACAGCCAUUUUUACCGCAGUUUUGCUCAAAAACAUCAGUUCAGUCCCUGUGAUCCACUCGCUGUUUACCUCCUCUCCUGUGGGUUGGAACACGCACCUUCGCGCACCGGUGUGACGUCAUCAGAAUUCUGCUCGGUUCGGCAACCAGACUCGGUUCCGUGUUUGAAAUGUGUUUCCUUACCGCGCACGGAAGCGGCAAAAUUACGUUUAGCGCUCCUAAGAAGCGGAUUCUCAGCGCUCUGCUCAUAAAACAGAAGACCUGCAGCCUGCAGGCCUCUGUGAGUUAAUCCUGAUACUGUUCAGGUGUAAACAUUGUGCUCCAUCCCUGUGUUUGAACUCGGACGUUGCUCCUUGAUGCCACAGAUAUGUGAUGACUUAGCUUGUUUCUUUAUUUUACUCCAGAAUAAGAGAUUAAAUUAUUACUAAAGCAGUUCAGUGUAGUUAAAUUAGUCAUUCAAAUGAUUCUAACAUGCUGCUGUGUGUGUGUGUGUGUGUGUGUGUGUGUGUGUGUGUGUGUGUGUGUGUGUGUGUGUGUGUGUGUGUGUGUGUGUGUGUGUGUGUGUGUGUGUGUGUGUGUGUGUGUGUGUGUGUGUGUGUGUGUGUGUAGGACUGCAUAAGACAGCAUGGCUUCAUCAAAUCCAUGCAUCCUAUAUCUUGGCUGAAGUAAUGGCUCAGGAAAAUAACUUGUAUUUAAUAAACAAUUAUGUCUCUACAGUGUUUAUGAUAAUGUUUUAUCUUAUCUUUGGUCUGGGAGGUGUAACAUAUCAUGAUGCAAGCCUUUUAAAACAUGUUAAAGUGUUACAAGAGGAGAUAAAUGCAUGAAUUUGAAGUUCAUGUUUGGAGACCAACCUUCACAGUUUGGAGGCUCACGCUGGUGAGGAGACACCAUUAGUUCUAGUAACACCUGGGCUCCCAAGGCCUGUUCUGACAGGAUGGACGUUCCGGGACCCUUAAGGAUUCCAGUUGGAUGAUUGGAGGAUUAUUUAGGAGGAUUGGGAUGAACAAACUGGUUUCAGUGGUGAAGGGUUAAAGGUAUCGGCUCGGCAUUAAAAUUGUAGAAAUGCAAAAUAACUACACUUUAUUAUCUAUAUAAACAUGUACUGGGUCCAGUUUUUUAUUUUAUUAAGGACUUUUGUCAUAAAUCAUUACAGAAAAUCCAAAUCCUCUCCUCCAGACAGUGAAGAACUGUGUUUCGCAUACGUCACUCCAGCACGUAAAACAAGCUAGCUGCUGAUGCUAUAUUGUGAAUCACUGUUAUUUGUUUACUUUGAUGCUCCUAAUUAUUACAUAAAAUUGCGUUUACAGCUGCAGCAAAAGGUCUGAGCCAUGUGUCUGUGUCCUACACGCAUUUUUAAAUAACAGGUCUGAUCUAAAAUAAUAACUUACAUCUAUAAAUCCAUCUAGAA